AUUGAACGCUGGCGGAAUGCUUUACACAUGCAAGUCGAGCGGCAGCGCGGCCUUCGGGCUGGCGGCGAGCGGCGAACGGGUGAGUAAUGCAUCGGAACAUGCCCAGUCGUGGGGGAUAACACUUCGAAAGAAGUGCUAAUACCGCAUACGUCCUGAGGGGGAAAGCGGGGGAUCGCAAGACCUCGCGCGAUUGGAGUGGCCGAUGUCAGAUUAGCUAGUUGGUGGGGUAAAGGCCUACCAAGGCGACGAUCUGUAGCUGGUCUGAGAGGAUGAUCAGCCACACUGGGACUGAGACACGGCCCAGACUCCUACGGGAGGCGGCAGUGGGGAAUUUUGGACAAUGGGGGCAACCCUGAUCCAGCCAUUCCGCGUGAGUGAAGAAGGCCUUCGGGUUGUAAAGCUCUUUCGGCAGGAACGAAACGGUGGGCUCUAACAUAGUCCGCUAAUGACGGUACCUGAAGAAGAAGCACCGGCUAACUACGUG
rnacentral:rRNA from 1 species